GUCGGGAAGAGGAAGAAAGAGGGUCUAAGAAUGGUUGGAAUGGGAACAUGGAGGAAAAUCUAAACCCUUUUCCAUCAUUAGGUGGAGAUUUGGCUGUGUUUCCCAAUGCCUCUCAUUCCUAUUAUUCUUAAUCACUUGUUCCUCUUCCUUUUGACU
rnacentral:pre_miRNA from 1 species